UGUUGGUGCUGAUAUUGUUUGUUUUUUUUUUGUUUGUUUUUUCUUGAAACUGUGCUGACUCAGCCUGGGAAUCUGGCUAUAAGAUGUUGUUGACUAGAGCCCAAGCACCUGGGGAAACUAUCACAGUACAAAGCACCAGAAACGUCAAGUCAUAACAUCAACCUCUUCCUCUCGUCUGAGUGCCACACAGUCAGAAGCUGCCUCCUUUACAUCUCUGCUAAUCUCAGGGGUGCUGCAGCAAAUUAGAGUUUAGAAUUGAUGAAUUAUGGCAUCUGUCCACGCGGUGUGCUCCUCUGCCCUCCAAUCAAUUUAAGUGACUUUCCCCCCACGGUGAGAAUAGACUUUUUGUUAAAUGACUCCAUAAGAAAAAUUAUAGCUAUAAAUCCGCAGCCAACACCAGCUGUUAUGAAGAUUUAUUACUGUAGUUAAUGUUAAUACUCCACCCAGCCCCGUCACAUCAGACGCAGGGGCCGCUGUAGGUCAGCCAAUGGGGUUAUUCUUGUUAUUUCCUCGUCCAGAGUGAAAUUAGUCUGACAGUAAAACGUUGGAGAAAAAUCAACUGUUUCUGUGAUAAUUGCCGGUUGUCGGGUUUAAGGUGGGCUCGUCCUUGGUGAGCCUGGUUGUUAAAGGAUUGUUUACAGCGGUGAAAGGGCCAGAUUGAGUCAUUGACAUCAGCUGUUUGUCUGUUUGAAAGCUGCAAAAUGUGAAGGUCCGCUCAGAGAGGCUUUAACACCGACCAUUCAGCGACGCCUUUGGGGACACACGCGAGGGGGAGGGGGGCACAAACACUCACUGCCCACAACAAAAGCAAACGGUUGCAUAAUUCUCUAAGGUUCACGGUUAUAGAAAAUGUUAAUAGAUGUUUGUUUUAAAUGAUGCGUGUACGCAGUGUGUGGAUAAGAAGGUGUGGGCGAGAUAAAGAGAAAGGGAGAGAGAGUCAAGGCUUCCCUGUAGGGUGUAGGUGGUUGUCAUGUGUGUUUAAAGCAUUACCCUCAUGGCAUGUUUGAGAGUAAAAUCGGUCAGAUGGUUGCAGUUUUAAUUUUGACACCAAACUUUAAUUUAGUUUUAGUAAUUUUCAGAAAACUAGGGUUGAGAUGUGAAAAACAGUUUGGCCCACCCCACCUCUUAGUUUGAUUCAUCAAAAAUAGCAAUAUUAAAAGUGUAAAUCUUAUUGUUGGUGCUCUUGUUUACAUUUAAAAAACAUUAAACGUAGGGCUGCACGAUAUAUCGUUUAAGCAUCAUCAUCGUGAUGUACGUGUCCGCGAUAGUGACAUUGCAGAGCCUGUGAUGUAGGAGGUGAAUGAACUCAUCUAAUUUUAAGGGUAGCUGACUGAGAUACACUGCAUGUGACUCUACAUGUGCAGUGCAGCGAUCCACCAAUCACUUUCAUUCUUUACUUGAUUGCCAAUUAGACUACCCUGCCAGCCGUCAAUCAACAUCAGAGAGGAGGAAACCCACCCCUGCACAUGGAGUGAGUCGCUGCGCUGCCAGUGUUGUGCCGAGAAAUGAGUGUUCGCUGAGAAUUACUUUGGGAACAUUACUCAUCACUGUUUAGCCCGACAAAUAAGAAUUGUACACGUUUUAAAUUGUACAUUUUCAUGGACUACUCUACUAUAAGCGGUGUGCGUUUUGCAAGGUACAUGCGUUUCUCGGCACAACACCGUUAACAACAACAACGGUUGCAAAAUGAGCAACGAACAAGAGAAAAUGAAAACUUGUUGCCAAAAAGAAAAGGAAAGUCAGUUAUCUGGAAUUAUUUCGGUUACAAGAGGGAUGAUGUCGACCAAAACGUGUUCUGUGUUCAUCUGUUGCCAUAAUAACAUCCCAGCACAAUAAAAGUUAAAAAUAUCUCUAAGACAGACAGAAGCCAUUCUACUAACAUUCACAAAAAGAGAUAAGAUCAACGCAGGUUAAUUGUCCACAAGAUUUCAGCAUAAAGUGAUAUUCAGGUCAUCUGGUGAAAAUUCCUGUAUUUUUUUAUAUCGCAAUAUAUAUCGCAGGGUUGAAAAAAAUCAUUGUUAGUUUUUUUCAAUAUCGCGCAGCCUUAGUAAAAAGGCAUUAGGAUGAAUUUCAACCUUUUUUACAAAUAUCAAAAAAAUACUCACGGGCGCUUUAAAGCAAACAAAUAAUUGUUUUUAUCAUGUCAAAAUCAGAGACUGUGGUGCUUUUCAGGGGCAACAACAUCCCAUAAUACCUACUAGUGUCACACUCUGACAGUAGGUAUGUUAGGACACUCAGUUAUUGUUUUUUUUUUUUUUUGUUUUAAAAGGCAAAUCUAAAGUAGAGCCCUUCAUAGAGCUUCUGCAAGGAAGAGAUUACUGUGUAUCCUAAAAAAAAAAAAUUCAAGGUAUGUCUUACAAUCUUCAAUUGUUGCCUAAUAUCAUCACAUCCAAUGUUUGUCAUUGUGAGCUGUCCUUGUCACUGCCGCUAUUAAACAAGUUUGUUUAUUUGUACAGAUUUUAAGAGCACACUGCAGUUUCACACUGGUACAUCAUCAGAGCCUCUGCUGCCAUGGCAACCACCAAAAUCUCAUGUGCUUAUUGAUUUAAAUGCCACCCCCAUGGAAACUCAAUGACAUUUAAGUUAUUUAUUGGAUUAAAUAAAGUACUGUUCAUUACAUAUUUAGACCGCACAGUGGUCCAGAAGCUGAAAAACAAAUGUGGUGCUAUAAAAGAGAGGGGAUGUUUUUCUUCUCUGCUACACUCACAGUUUGUCGGCCAGCCGACCACAAAACUUGUAGUGGAUGUUUGCUUCACAGAGCAGGUCAAUAAGGAUUGUCCCAAACAAAUUGAAUGUUUUUGCUUCCUUCUGUGAGCAGCUCAGCGAUGUUUAUCAGAGAUGGAUCCGAAACAGCUGACAGAGUUUAAGAGGCUGGGUGCAGCAGAUCAUGAAGGGACUUUGAAUUGACAUUUUUCUAAAAACUUUCCAUAUAUUGAGAAAAGAAUGAGAGGAAAAUGGAAAAACUGUAAGAGUGCUACAUUUCCACCACAAAAUUCCACCACAGACAUAUAAAUAACAGCUUUUUCAAGGGUUCACUAAGGGACAAUAUGACUCUGCCAAGGAUCCAGAGGCCCAUUAAACAAAAAUAAAACUCCUAUUCACUUAUUAACCAAUCUAUAUUUUAACAUUUACAUCAACAGCUCAUUUGUAAAUCAACAUUUGGACAGAAAAUUGAGUUUUACCUCUUUAUAACCCAUAACCAAACCUAAUAAUACACACCAUUUUAUAGACAAGACAAUCAUAGUUUUGUCUCCAACUCGUUUAUCUCCAUAUAUUUCAAGAUGUUGUUCAUCCUUGCAAACCAACAGAAUGAGUGCAAACAUAACUGUCUUGAUAAUAUAGCAUGCCAAAAAAAGUGGUCUCCUAUGGUCAACUUACCCCGCGCAAUGCAUGACGGGAUGACCAUCGGAUGGUCUCUCCAUUUGGCAAUGCUCUACGGGAAAUUUUGAGUCGCCUAUAUAGGGCAUCGAAGUUGAUCACUCAGGUUUCGGACACCACUUAAAAAUGGUGCUAACCCCGUAUAGUCGCCUAUACAAGGGUUAGGGAUCCAUUUCAGACACACGACUUUAUUAGCCCUCUAAGCUAAAAUGGUGGACUUUUAUGCUAGUUUUUUGACCUCAUGUUGUAGCUCAUAGAUACCACAAUUGAUGUAUAAAACAUAUAUAAAAUGAUCUUUUUUGGUCUGAACACAAUUCUGAUAAAUUUAAGACAAACUAAAUUCACUUUCAAGAGUUAAUUUUUUUUAAAAUAAAUGUCUAACCUCUUCACCCAUGUACUUCUAACCUUCACAGACUCCAUGAAUUGAUGCCCAUUUCCUAAAUAUUUGGUCACAUGAUCAAUUUCUUUUACCAUUUCCAAACAACAAAAGGUAGCUCAAUUUACCCCACUCUCCCCUACAUGAUUUCGGAUUAACAGAAACACCUCUUACCCAGCAGGAAUCCCACAGAUGACCGCUGAGUCCACACACUUGAUGAGGUGAUAUCCGGUCUCGGUAACCUGCGUCCUCCAUCUUGUCUCUCUGCUACAAUGGCGGCGGCGAUGCUAACACAGCUAGCUCCAUCGGCAGAAUUCAGCCCAAAACACACACAAAACUGAGCACGUUAACAGGUGAACACUAAAAUAUCCCGCUGGAGCAUAAACAGUUUAAAAAAUAAUGCAAAAAUAGUUUUUCUCUCUCUUUUCACUCAACUUGUUUACCUGUAUCCUUCUUCUCUCCCGUUUCCCUCCUAGUCCCGCCCCUCAACCCUGAUAGGUUCAGAACAAGCAGCGUGUCUCUUUUGAUUGACACCUGUCUACCCCUGUUAACAACUCAUUACAGGCCGUGAUAUGUUCAAAGUCAAUACGAAAUCAGAGAGUUUACAAAAUUUUAAACCUUUUGGGGGUUUAUUCAGUUAAUUGUGACAUAAAACAAUUGGAAUUGGAAUAUGGUUUAUAACUUAUUUUUUCCCAGAAUAAUGCACAGCUCUGUUACAAUGUAAGAUUUUGACGCUCAAACCGCUCUGUCGCAUCUUUCGCCAUGGUAACUGUCGCUGAGGAUCAUGGGAAGGCCAAUAUAGCCUCCAGGCACGUAUGCUCUAAACAGCCGCACUGAAAAUCGAUAAUUGUAAAUAAGAUUUAUUAUUUCAUUUUCGUUUCCUUCUCUAUUAUUUAUUCUGUUUUGAGCUGAAAAUACAAAAACAAACACGAAUUUUUUUUUUAUUUUUUGGUAAUACAGAAAAACAAAUAAACAAAAUACUGACUUGUUUUUUCGUUUACUAGAUUGAAUAGAAUAAGUAAAUGGACGGAUAAUACACGGACUCAAUAACUCCAGUAUUCUGCACUUUUGCAUUUGCUGAAUAUUUAAUAAAGAAAUUUUCUAUUUGGUUAUUUGUGAUGCCCUUAUUCUCAUAUACACCCUCAAGAAACUUCUACAGACCCAAAUAAAAGAGAGAAAAAAAACGAAAACAGUAAAUGAAAAUGUCACCCCCAAACUUCGACCCUUGCUGAGAACAAAAAAGUCAUUAACACAUUCCAAUCAGCAAAACAAAGUAAAACAAUUAACUGGCUCCUCCACAGUGGGCUUUAAUAACACCACUUUAGCAGCACGCUCCUCUUAUUGCUUACAAGGUGAUGUGGGGAUGUUAUUGAGAUUUGGUUUAAAACGGCGCUCAGAGUGGGCUCUUGUCAUUACACAAACUCCAAGACAUUUCAUCCUGGCAUGCCGAGAAGUCAAGCCUGAGCCAGAAGCAGCAGUACGGAGGCCUAAUUGAACUCUCUGUGAUUCCCUCUCAAGGGCUAUUCUCAGUGCUCAUUAUCUUAGCCCCAGUCUCCGUAAAGACCAGAUGACUUCGCUCUGACUUUGAACCUCCCUCUCCAAACAGGUCAGUCCAGCUCCCUUUGUCCUUUCAUCUUCCUUUUGGCUUUUAUAAAUAAGCGCUUUUCUCCGGAGGCACAGUUGCAUCACCUCAGACAGCUGCCAGCGGUGGCUCCUCUCAGAACAAAAAGGAAUCCAGGCAACUCUGCUCUAAUCACUUUUGUCGUGCUGCGUGCUGACGAUGCCAACGGACUAAAAAUACAAAGAUAGAAAUGAGAAACAGAAUUUCCAGGACUGUUGUUCCCCUUUUGUCAUUUUUACAACCUACUGUGUUCUACAUCCUGCUACUGAAAAGCCUUUUUGUGCAUCCACUGGAAUUCCUCAUUUUAACACAAAAACACCCGCCAGCCACGAUCAAACAAUCAUUACUGAGUAGCAGUUGGAAUCAUCAUUUAUAGCAUUUAGAUUUGUUCACACACAUCUUUCUGUUUACUUAAUAACAGCAAGAGAUCCCAGCGCCUACUGCUGUCCUGUAGCUGUUUUUGUGUCUCUCUCAUUCUCCAGUGUGUUAAUACUUACAUUUAACGCGUCAGCCACAGCCAAAGAUGUGACGCUAUACAAAUACAAGCUCUGCAUCAUGGGAGAGGGUAUUUCCAUAUCCAGAUGGCCUUUUAACAGACAUGCUGUGCACUACUAAGAACAAAAGGGCUUUAGAUGCUUCUGUGGUUGUUUCACAGUGUCUUGUCCCUCAGAAAAAUCCCCCGACUAAAAUGAUCAAAAGCUGAACAAGGGAGUGAAACGAGGCUCUCGGUUUCACCAUUUGUGAUCUGAUUAUUUUGAGAUAUUUAUAGAUUAAGUUGAUUAAACGAUCGAACAUUAUCCUCCUUUCUGAUUGGCACUCAUCAGCUCAACUAAGCAUGAACACUUUUAUUGUUUUAAGCCUGAAAAUCCAUUGAAUGAAUUUAAAUUUUCUUUUUCUAGUGAUCAGGUAAUUAGAGUGGCAAAGUGACAAGAUGGGAGGACACCAUUAUGGGAGGACAGCAGUGUUAAUAGUUGGGUAAGAAGCAUAGACUGUAUAAAGAAUGGACGCUGUCUGCCUCCUCGCUGGGUGAAGCCACUCCGAGAACAGCACCCUCUGGUGACGGGUUGCAGUAUAGGUCAUAAAUCCCGCCUCCACCAGCAAAGCUUAUGGAGCUGUGGACAAACUUUAGAAAUCUAUUACACAGAAUAUAAAUUUUUCUCCCCCCCUACUUGUGGUGUUGACAUGUAGUUACAGUAAGAUUGGUUUGAAGCUCCGUUGUUAAAAGUUAUUAGGGGGUUCAUGUUUUCUUUGAUUGACACCUGAUACAGCCUAUGGGCGUUCAGGGAUUGUGUAGCUCACCUGUGGGAUACGCUGUUUGAGCCGAGCGUCAUCACAGCGACUCUCGGCGACUCUCCCGCCGAAUGCGCACAACACUGCACAAUGCUGGUUUCAGGAAAUGAAGAAAAAUCAUGGAAAUACCGGGAGCUUUUUGGCUUCAAAUCUGUAUACAGGCAGGAGGCGGAACCAAGUUGUCCGUAGUAUAUACAGUCUAUGGUAAGAAGUCACCAUUUACACUCGACCCACUACUUCUCACACUCCAUAUAUUUUUUUUUUAACUGCAAGGAAAGAGCGUUUUUACUGUCUGUCCAAGGAAUUGGUCUCAGAUUCACACCAACAAGAGUAACACUUGUUCUACCUUCUGUUUGCUUUGUUUAACCUCAACACAGGGAACCCUUAACCUCAGUUUAACUCAGCAUAAAAGUAAGAAAGCACACCUCCCAAUAUCAAGUCAAUUCUCUCUUCCUGUGAAAAGCUUCUGGUUUGUGUUGUUCUCGCGGCCCCUGUGGACAAACCGUACCCUUUAUGUCUUCGUUGAUCUUGUCCUGUACAUCAGAAAAAAGCAUCUCUGACUCGCUUUUUUUGUUUUUGUUCAUUUUAGCUGGUGGUUUUUUGUGCGGGGCAAGGCGUUAGGAAACAAUUACAGUGAAAGUACAAGCUUUUUACUUCAAAACAUUUCCUGUUGAAAAUGCAAACAAAGGCUGUCGCUGCUCGUUUUGUCUGGCGCCUACUUUGGCAGAUGUUCAGGCAAUAAAAAUGAGUUUAUUUGAAUAUACUCCAUUUUCUCUGUAAUGGUUUAUUUACGCUUGUAGGUCAGGUAAAUUUCAGUUUGUUUCACAACCAGCUAAAAUCUUCUCAUCAUGACUUUUAAAGACUGUUUACCUAAUCUAAAAGUUGCGUAAAAACUAGAGUAGCAUUCAGAGGACAGUGACUAGAGCUGAGGCCAUGUUUGUGAGUGGGAUCAGCUGUUAUUGCUUAUUGAUGCAGAUCAGUUAUGUGAUGUGAUGGGUUUUCUUCUCAUCCUUCAUACUCGCACCUUUAAAUGGCGCGCAGUACUAGGCGUGCAGCAUUGUCCUUUUUGCCACUUUUCUCCUUCAGUGGAUCAAAGCCAUACGUUCAGAAAAAUCAAUAGUAAAUCAAUAGUAAUAAGACUUGUUGAGUGGUAAUUUGAUUGAAAUGACACCUCUAUGAGUGAAAUGGUUGCAGGCACUGUCUGUAUUUUGCAACCCUCAAAGCUACUCUUUGCUAAGCUCAAGUACAGAAACAACUUUAAAAAAGAAAAAUCUACGCAGCUGCAUAAAAUCUGCACAUUGUGGACUUAGCCAAAUGCAACUGAAGACAUUCAAAAGUGCCCCAAAAAACAAGAUAUGUUUUAUUUACUGGUGCAAAUUAAAUGUCAGAUGUUAGAUAAAGAUAUUUAAUCUGAUGUUUUUUAAUUUUUAUCAUUCAGUUAUGGCUUUUGAUCUGAUCAUCUCAACUGUCGGUGUCAUAAUUUUGUUUAUUUGUUAAGAUUUGAUUUUUUAUUUUUAGUUUAUGAUCAAUGUUUUGAUGAGCUACGGCAAUAUUUUUACAAUUAACUGCCUGAGGGAAUAUUUUUACAUCUUAUUCUGUCUUGUAGUGGCUGGAUUGUUCAUCGCAGAUACAUCACAUGUUUUCGUUUACCCAGAAAAGCUUCCCAUCCGUCAGACUAACUUCAAAAACCCUCGUUCGGUUUACCUUUGACACCAAUUUGGCAGACCAAAAUAAGAUACCCCACUUCUAUGAAUCCUUUUUGAAGAUCUAACGUAUGUUUGGUAGGAAAGCAGUCUUACACUGCGCGUGUGUAUUUCUGUUCCUCUGCCUCUCGACCUGCGUUCGGUGGGAUGAACUCCUGAAACCAGUAACCUUGAACGCCAAUAAAUCCCACCCCCGCUUGAUUUAUUUUCACUUACAGCAGCACAUGGGUCAUUUGUUGAAAGAGUAACCUCCUUUUAACUCUGUGACCGCAGCCGUCCUGCAGUUUCUUCUUCAGGCCCACAGUGAAGGGUCUUCAUAUCUUCUGCUCUACCAGCACACCCUCCGCUCUCUGUGUAAGACAUCAGGCAGACCGGCACGGCUCCCCGAGCUUUGAAGUUUGUUUCAGAGGUACAUCAAAGGCAGCAGCAGCAUGGAUACAUGGAUGACACAUUUAAUUUGGUUAGCAAGCAUUUCACAAAUUUACGCCAUCAAUUAACUCAUGAUGGACAUAUAGUGGGUAAUUACCACCGAACUAUAAAUAGCAUCAAAGUUGAAGAGCUUGCGUCUUUACAAAGCUAUACACUGACGAGGUCUUACACAGAUGUCAAAAAGCUACAGAUGUCAAAAAGCUUAUUUGAAUAUGAGGACACGCCAUGACUGCACAUUUACCACAAUAAUACCCCUUACUUAUAUUAGCCGUGAUGUUCCCAUUCUUUACAUAAAGCCGCCCCACAUCUUCAGCAAACUGUCACUCACCUGUCAGCCGUGUUAACACUCACCACACACAGCUACAAAAAAAUAAUUACCUCCCACGCUUCGGGAUCUUCUGACAGGCAAUUAUAGUGUUUAAACAUACAUGAAUACACCCUCCAAGCGGGCCAUGUAUUGUAGAAAGCGGAGUACUUAAUGGACUGUGAGUAAGUCAGGUGUUGCAUUUGUUUCCCGGUAAAGUGAAUUAUUCAUUGUUGAUGUUUUUGAAUGUAUGUAUAUAGAAAUGUAUAGAGGUUGCCGGGUAAUGCUUUCCGGCUCUGCAGAUAGUCAGAAGUAUUGAAGUGAUUGACUUUCAGCGGAAACCACAGGGGAGAGCGGUGACGUGAUUAUGGCGUAUGGGCUCUGACUAAACAGACGUCAAAGAUGACACAAACUGCGCUGUAAAUGUUGUUUGUGCACGUCUGCUUUAAAGGCUGAAACAUACAGGAUCCAUAUUGAGUGUGUAUCAUCAGCGUCACGUAUCACGCAGCAAUAGGUUGCCAUUCUAAUCAAUGCAGCUCCGUCGCAGCUCAGUAUCUGAAGCAUAUUGAGAGCAGCACUGCUAAAGAUACCUUAAAGAUACCUAAAGAUACCUAAAGAUACUAAUUUCCCCUCGGGGAUCAAUAAAGUUCUCUAUCUAUCUAUCUAUCUAUCUAUCUAUCUAUCUAUCUAUCUAUCUAUCUAUCUAUCUAUCUAUCUAUCUAUCUAUCUAUCUAUCUAUCUAUCUAUCUAUCUAUCUAUCUAUCUAUCUAUCUAUCUAUCUAUCUAUCUAUCUAUCUAUCUAUCUAUCUAUCUCUACGCUUCCAGUGCAUGUCAAUGUACACAGAGAAGAUCGUUCUAGACAGAGUGUCAAGCACGAAAACCCCGCAUGUCAUCCGGUAUUUCAAAUAAAACCCCAUAUGCGAACUCCCAACUGUGUAUCAGUUCAUGUAGAUGAGAAAUACUUCCUGGUUAUUGAUUCAUCAGUAACACAGAACAAUCUGAUGGUCAAUCCCUGAUCCAAUUGGACCCCAACUGGACUUUUAACUGCUAACUCUACCUGAAGGUAACAGCACAGCAUAAAGGAGCAUAGUUUACUUUAUUAAACAUGAGUAAACCUGCAAAAACCGAAACUGUAAAAUUCUUGUUGCUUUUUCACAUACAGUAGAGGCUCAACAGUCACUGAAUUAUACCCAAAUUAGCAGGAAAUAGACCACAGGGCAUGUUGUUUCCUCUAUACUGAGCCCAGCUGACUGGGGCUGCACUACGCUGCUGCCACGCUAAAGUUUUCAGCUUAAGUUAAUGUCUCAAGGUGAAGCCUGCAUUGCUAUCAGCCAACACCAGCAACCAAUAUGAGACACUUGAGCUGUUUGCAUGGAUUUCCUCAAAUCUACUCACCCAAGUUGUUUGCGAUCCAUCUUCCUUUUGGUGACGGGAGAUCUGGCUCCUUUUACUGAUUCAGACCGUUUGGCUCCGAAAGACCGGGCUCCCUGACGGCCCCUUUACAGCACCAUGUUGGCUCACGGGAGCUGGAUCUUGUAGCCAAGUCAUUUACUACCAAUACAAUGCCAGCCACAAAAUGCUAAUAAUUUGGCUUGAUUGAAAUGAAAAUGCUAAGCUUGAUGUUAAUCCAAAGCACAAGUGAGCUGACAAGGAAAUAGUGCCAAACAUGGAACCGGGAAGCCUACUUCCAAUUUCAGUCAGUACAAUCAUCUUUAAAUCAAUAUUUGGUAUCACCGUGGUAACAUAUGUUAUCGGUAGCAGAUUAAAGUGUAGGACAGUAUAUAUUCUGUGUAUGAUUAUGCGGGUUGUGAUGCCAACGGGAUGACUCAAAGCUUAAGGAAUCAUAAUCCAGUCAUAUAUAACAUUGAAGAUGGUGUAAGUGAACUGAUCUGACUGAGCUUUGGGUUAGAGGUUUGAGAGCCACUGAUUUAAAGGACUUAAUCGCUCACACAAAUACAGUCGCACUUUAAUCCUGUUGAUCCUGAAGUCAAUACCUGCAUGGAAAAUAAGAUUAGGGCCAGUAUUACUAAUGCGUUAUAUUCCACCGAGAUUCACUUGAAAUUGUUUUUUCUGGGAAGUCUGAUCUGUGACAGGGAUCUAGAUAGAAAAUAAUCUGUGAAUGGCAGAUGUGACCGCCACUGGAAACUGAAACAGAGACAGAAACAUCCUACGCUUGUUUUUCUCAUGAUAAUUCUUGGCUUGAUCUACUUUAUUUCCAAAAUCCAAUCAGGUAUUUAGGGAAAUAUUUUCAUCCCAGUCUCUUUAGUCAUCAUUUAUUUGCCACCAACUAAGAAGCAUGGUGAUUAUUUCUCUGAAAAACAUGUGUUUCUCCCAAACAUGCCCACUUCCUCUGAACUCUUAGUUCAAGGUAUUCUCUAAUUACGAAGACAGGUUUACAGGGAGAUAAAGAAAAUGACUAUGCGGAUUCGCACAACUCUCACAUUUGUCUUUAUGAGGAAUGCAGAUCUUUGAAAGUGUGAAUAAACCAAACAAAACUAUGUGGAAAUCUUGGAUGCGACUUCUUGGAAAGCUACCAACUCCCCGCUCUGUGCUUUGAUCCUAUUUAAAUGAAGGCUACCCUCAACAAAACGGCCUCUAAUUAUUUCGUCUUUGAUUCUGAAAUGAAAAUACCCCCGAGACUCUGGUGGAGGUCUGAAAAAGCUGCAGCUAGAGCUCGUUUUUCUCGGUCCCGCAUGCUCUGUAAACCAGCCCUCCACAAACACCAAGACAAUGAGAAUCAAAAGGAUUGGAGACCAGAUUAAAUCGUGCGUUCAAAGGGAAACACAGGAAGGCCUCGAGUCAAUGUGUUAUCCUAGUUCUCCCAAGAGUUUGUCUGCUGUGGUUCCAAAUGGCACCCACCUAUUGAAAAGUUUAAUCUGCUUUCUUCACUCUGAGAAAACACAAUGGCAGCCCGCCAUCUCUCUGCUGCUGGAUCAUUAGAUUCAUCGCCAUAACCCAAGUGGAAGUGUGUGGGGAGGGGACAGCGGACAGAAAUAUCUUACCCUCUUCUCUCCAGAGGACAGCUCCAGCCCUCUGAUUCUCACCCCGCCGACUCAGAGCCCACCUUGACAUUUCGAGCUAAUGACACUGACCGAGGGCCCCGGAUUUCUCCUGGCUUUGAACGUGUGCGUGCCAUUUCUGUGAUUGAACUAAUAACGGAUUCUUAGAUGUAAUUGUGCCGGUCAGCCCAGGAUUGCUGUCGAGGAAACAGACUGUGAGGAAUGACUUCAUGUCUCCUGUGUUUUCCACAGUAACUUUUGGUUUUCUUCUUCUCCUAUUUCUACUUUUAUCACAGUCUACUGUCACACUCAAUGUUUGUGCUCAUUUAUAUUGUGACCCAAUGAGACUACCAAACACAAACACAUGAAACACUGCAUGUAUGAGCUUACUGUGCUCUAAUUUGACAGCAUAUUGAAAGGUCAUUUCAGCUGUCCACAUUUAAUUGUUUUCGGGCACACAUCUGUGAGCAUAUAUCACCAUGGUAACACUGGGUUACCUGCCAGUCAGGGUUUUUUUUAGGUUUAGGCGCUAAGAUGACUUAAUUAAAGGUGGGGUAGGCAGGAUUCCGUUUAAUAUCAUUCAGUAGCUAUUAGUUAUUGAUGACAUUUGGUAAUAUAAUGAUAUCGCUUUGUUUUGUUAUGUCUGUGUGGUCAACAUUUUAAAUUUUUUUGCGCGGCCCGCUCUUUCGGACAAAGUCAUUCUCCAACUUCCCCAACCUGAUUGGUUGUGAGGUGGACGCUGCUCCCCCUGUGUCAUGAGGCACGCACCACCCAACGUUUAUGAGCCCAAACAAAGUUAGCGUGCGACAAUAUCGGACAGUAGAAACCAACCGGAAAGUACAGAAAACUGUCUGAAUCCUCCUUUGACUGCCAACACAAGCAAGUAAACGAAGUAAAUACCAGAGACUCUGGCGGAAUAACGGGCGCUUAAAAGGGAGGUAGAACCUUUCUGCUGGACAGGUAAACCGCUUUAACAAAGUAAGCCAAGUGUCUGUAACAGAAGUGUUACUUGUCAAAUGGGACCUGCAGCGUGUUGUUGCGCCGCUGUACUGUUGACCUCGGGUUCUGGACUAUGUCACUUUAUCCUCGUUGUAGAAGUCCUGCAAACAUUGUGUUUGCUGGUAGUCUGUUGGCAUCUACAGUAGCACUGGGCCCCAUUUGUAAUUAUCUGAAGUAUUGAUCUGCAUUAUAUCUGAAUUUAAUUGAAACGAUACGAGCGAGCAGGAGCGUCUGUUUGUGGGCGUGACUUAGGGGAGAGGAGGAGCUGAGGGGAAAAAUGGUUGGGAGGGGUAGUGUUUACAUUCAAGAUUUCUCCCCAAAACUGGCACUUCCUCAGAUCCUGUAAACCCCACCUUUAAGGUAAAGAUGAUUUAAGGGGUUGGUGACACCACUUUUGAGCAUUCAUAACUUCAAGUGUUUUACUUUAUCUAAACUUCAACUCAGUUAAAGAAGAUUUGCACACUGUGUCCCGACUCUAAUGGAACUGGGUGGUGUGAGCUUAUAGGUUAAGGCUAAAUUUGAUUCUCUCUGGAAACUCAAAAAGUCUUUCUUUAUGAUAUUUGGACGCAGAAUGACAUGGUUCCUUUAGUCUGCUAAUAAAAAACAGCAUGAAAUCGCUGGUAAAAAUGGAACUGUGAUAACGUUCAAAUGUCAGAGGAUGUUGCUAUGGUAUUACUGAACCUUUUUGUGAGACCAGACAGAUGGACUUAGAUUUCUGUCCCUUAUUCAGUCCCAGAGGAUAAAGCUUUCUUGUUGUUUUCUUGCCACUCUCUAACAUAAAAGAGUUUUUAAAUCUUUUCUCAGUCAUUCGAACAGUUUAAACUUACACAACCACAGAAUAAGACAGUUUUUUGGUGCUCCAGGAUUGUGUUCACAUUUUUAAUAUUUGCUAAGAAAGAGUGACAGAGGUAUGUUGCCACAGCCGAGGAGUGCUGCACGUGUCAGGUGUGUGAAUGGAAUCUUAAAUGAGGUGGCAUUUUAGGGAAUACUCGUAUCUGCUUUUCUGCCAAGAUUUCGAUCAGAAGAUCAAUACCUGUCUUAUGUCUGUAUGAUGAAUGUGCAGAUACAGCCAGCAGCCAGGUAGCUUAACAUAAAGCCUGGAAAGAGAGAGAGGAAGAGUUAGACCGGCUCUGUCAGGAGAUAGCAGAAUCUAAUUCCAGCACAGGAUAUAUAACAUAGCACACAGCUCUGUAUAUAAAAAAGGAUUUUUUUUUUGCACUUUAAUGCAGUUAAAGAUCAAAAUAACACUAUAUAUAAUUUGUUACUACUUUUCUGUAGGGUGACCAUAUUCUGAAUUCCCAAAAAGAGGACUACGGGGGCUAUAUAUGUUUUUUUUUUGUAGGAGGGUAGGGGAAAGUCCCGCCUCCUUCGCCUCUGAUUGGCUAGAAAAGCUGGAAACGUCAUCACACGUUCAAGCCAAACACGGGCUGUCGGCUCUAUACAUCGAACAGAACAUUACAGAACGUUAUCGCACUUCUGAAUCUCUUAACCCUAACCCUAACCUGACGGACGAUGACAUUUCACAGCCGUAAGGAAUAACCAAUCGGAGCCCAGCACUUAUAGCCAAUCAGAGGCGAAGAAGGACGGGACCUUCCCCUACCUUCCUACAAAAAAAAAUUCGCCUGGAGGGGUCACACAAACUUAAUUUUCAGAGUUUUUCAGGUUGGCUCGACUGUCUCUUACUGUCUCUCCUAACUCAGUAAGUCCACGUGACACAAAAUCGAAACUUACGUACAAAACUGCAGACAUUUGAAGGAUUUUGUAAACUUCCCCGGACAAGCCCGGACAGCCCCCUAAAAGAGGACAUGUCCGGGUGAAAGAGGACAUAUGGUCACCUUACUUUCUGUGCUACAUACUUGAUUUUCAUUGGUUGAAAUUUCAUUCAUUAAUAUUUGGUUUUUCAGCAGUAGAAGUGAUGCUGAGGAAAUCCAGAUCCCGCACGUCACAAAGAUGCCAAACCAUCAGACCAUGAGGACUCCAGCACAUUUCUCCUCUGCCUGUUGACACUGUGGCAAAAACACUAGGUUCUGUCUCAGGUCUUAGUGGACAGGAAAUGAGGUCGGUUACCUGACACAGGUGUGAGGGCAGCCUGAGGAGCCCCAACUCUGAUAGGAAACGGUGGAAAAAGAUCUUGUCCUGCAAUCCAGGCAACAGCAGAAGAGCUCGUAAGUGUACUUUUGAGUUACCAAUCCUACAAAGCAACUCAAACCAUAUUACUAUUUACACAGACAUUACCUACCUUUCCAGGACUUAAGAGACAUACAAAUGUAAUAGUUUGAAUCAUUUUAAGUCAUUUUUGGCUAAGAAUAAGUGUCUUUUGUCUCUUUUUUGUGGUAUUUUUUUCAAGUACAUCUUCUUUCAUCUUCAUUUUUCAUCAAACAGAAGAGUUAACUGAAUUUUCAAUGAAUAACUCAAUCUGUUUUGGUCUUUUGAAGUGUUUAACAUCUUGUAUCCGAGUGCUUUUAUGUGUUACAGUAAUCACUGUACAUUAGCAGCGUAAAACACAGUGUAAAAAUAUUGUUCCAGGGAGAGCAGUGAAGUGUUUUCCUGUUUGUACGCUCUCUGGGGUGAUUUUACAUUAGGCGCAUUAAGCCUGUAAAUGUGUCACCUGAACAGCGGGAGAUAACUGCUGUGCUUUCUUAGUUUUUUUUUUCCAACCUCUGAAGCCUCUACCUUUGAUUUUCCUCUGCUCGCAGCUUUGCAUUGAUACCAUCUGUCAGGAAUGGAGAGCUGGUGGAGUUGAGAGGAAAGAGGAGGAGAGGGGGUUCAGCACUUCGCCGUCUGAUUAAUCAUGCUAAUCAGUGAUGAGAGGUUAGAGGUCCAUUAACCUGUUCGGAAACACCAAAGACUGCCAUGCCUCUGAGGGUGGGGAUCCACUGGAGCACCAGCCACAGAUGGGAGGGAGAGCGAAGAGAGAUGGCGCCAACCCCCAUGGAGGCAAACCCCAGACAGGAACACCUGCUCUGAUGAUGAAUUAAGGAGAGAUGACAAAAUAUGGUUUGAGCACUCCAAAUACCCCAGCGGUGCCCGUAAACCCGCCUCAGGAGGGCCAGAACCAAACAGGAAACAAGGAUAAACCUACACUCAGCUAGCAUCACAAAAAUAGCAUUUGAUGUGGUUUGCGUUUCUAUUUAAAUCAUAAUGAGCUGGAGAUUACAGAGGCGGCACUCGAUGAUAGUAGGUUCUUGUUUUCGUCUCAUCAAAGGCUUCAUUUUCCUGUUUUAGCGCGAGUUAGCGAGCUGAGCAGCACCGAAAUCAUCCAAAAUAAAGAGCUGACGGUUAUUCCAAGCACGUCCGUGUUCAUGGAAAUAUUGAUUUUGUCCGUUCUUUGUUGAUUUUGUGUCCUUUAUGGGCUCAUAUGGGAAAAAUGCAAGAGCAAAACAGAACGUGACAUCAAUCACUUUAAGAGGAAACUAGUGUUGUUCUCAUGUUUCAGUUUGAUUCUCUUGAAUAAGCGGGAGCGCUGCUUUCGUGGCCACCACCAUUUAUCAAAGCUACAGUCUGAGUGGAACAUGGAGGAUGUUGUUUUUUUCAUGCCUCACAACAGAAAAAGCUCUGCGGAGCGUACAGUGGGGGAUCUCUACUUCAGACCGGCAUGGGUUUCUUUCAUGGGGAUAUGUGAAGGAGUACUUGUGUGGAGAUUUGGAGAGAAGAGAAAAAAAAAAAACAAACCUUGGAAAUGUAAAAGAGGAUUGGCAGAAGGUAGCUAAUGCAACUUUAAAUCAGAUAUCUCUUGAGCCACUCGGUGGGAUUAAACCAAAAAAUUGUCUCUUAAAGCAAAAAUCCACCUUCCAGCACAAUGCUAGUGGAAUCCUUGAAAUAUGAAAAGCUCAAUAUUUGUGAACAAUCCUCUCCUGCAGCCGAGACGCAGAUUACCACAGUUCCUGAAGUCUAAAGCCUUCGAGCAACAAGACUUAUCCGGUGGCAAUAACCUGGAAAUUUCAUCAAGUUAAGGUGCUCUCAGUAUGUAUUACGGAUCAUAAAAAGUCCCUGCCUUCGGCUCUGAGUCCACCGAGAGUGAAAGUUACACUACAUCAGCUUGGGUGGUCAGCUCCUUUGUGAACUGAGGCAUUAUGACAAAAGCAAGAUAGCAAAUGGGUCAUAUGAGUCAGCAAAUGUAGGUAAGAAUAACAUCAGCUUUAGUUCGCUUGAUAAAUUCAAGGAAAAGGUGGGCAAUAAGCGCUGGAUACUCAAGAGAAACUCGACAAAGUCUAAAAAAAACAAACUCUGAGAUUCAAAGACCAAACACACUAGACAGCUAAAUUACUGAAACAGCAGGAGACAGGCAAGAGGCCAAGGAUUUCGACUUAGUUAAAAAAGAAAAACUGGAGCAAUGUUCGACUGAAUAUGAGAAAUCUGUUUGAUAGACGUUCACAUUUAAACUCUGUGAUGUCUUGAUUUGAUCCCCUUUGGACCCAGUCCCAAUUUGCAGACUGAGAUUUCCAUGUUACAUAAGAAAUCUGAACAAUGCUCUCCUCCGGCAGAAUGAUUUAGCUCAACAUUUCAAACCUGGAAAUGGAACAUAACAUACUGUAAAUCCUCCAGCCUCCUUGCCAGUCUCGUCCUCUGUCUGCCUCUUGUCUCUGUCACUGUCUGUGUGUGGGUGCGUCUUGGGCUGGAAAUAUACAGACUCCACAGAUGACAGAUCUUUCAGGAGGGAUGAGCAGUUUUUUAAAAUACACCUCUAAAGCUCCGUCUGAGUAGCUGAGCGCAGAACAGUCGCUGCUGUCUUCAUGCAUAAUUUCAUCUGCACUUCCAGCAGCUUACUUCACAUUCAACCUGCCAGCCAAUAUACAGUAUGCAGAGAGCAUUAUUCAGAUGGCUGCCUCCAAUCAAUAGACUUCAUACACGUGUUGCUCCACACUGAGGGGAUAUUGAAUGUAUUCUCUGUAGACUACGACUUUCUUUGGUAUAUUUUGCAUUGAGUUUGACGGAGUUUGCUCACUGAAUGUUAUACUCUGGAUUAAGACAUCAUUACCGUAAUUCCAUGAGAGGAAUUAAAGAGAAUAGACGUGCCAGUUUAGGGGGAAACACAUUCUCAGUGCUCACUUCAGAGCUGUUGUGCUUUUGGUAAAGGAUCGUUAAUUAUUAAUGGAAAAACAGAAAUGUUUAAAAGACCUGAUGUCCCUCAUAAAUUCAAGAGUUGAUGUUAUUUUUUUAUUAUUAUUAUUCUUUCUGCUCCUUUUUAUUCACAUAUUUGAGAUUUUUCCUUGUUUGUAUUAAAUGUUUUAUUGUUUGUGUUUGUUUUGCUGCCCCCUGUGGACAAAAAGGGAACUGCUUAUUUUUAUCUUAAGAAUUGUAUGUCAUGUUUCUCAACUGAUAAUUUAACCCUUUUUUAUUUAAAUAAUCAUAUGAAACCUUUCUCAUGGAUAACGUUAAAUAAAAAGGCAGUUUUAGUAGUUUGUACCUGGUUAAUUUGGCUGAUACCUACCCUCCACUUGCAGUUUCAGAAAUCAAAAUUACAAAAGAGAAUUAGGGCCACAUUAAGGGAAAAAAAUAAUUAUAGAAAAAAGAUUGAAGUUGAAAUUUCAAGAAUAAAAAAAAUUUAAAUUUUGAGAUUAAAGUCGAAUUUUUGACUUUGUUUACAUUUUCUUUUUUCUAUUUCAACUUUUGCAAUUUUCUCAAAAUCUCAGCUUUAACUUUGAAAUGGAAAUUUAAAAAAUCUCCCUCCUGUGAUUAUUUUUUGCUCUUCUUGUGGCCCUAAUCCUCUUUGGUAAAAAAAAAUAACUGUACAGAUAUGAUCGAUGUUUUUGGUUUUAGACUGGUUUACUUUUGGAUCACACGGAUGCAUCAUUCUGAAAACAGUCUCUUUCUUAAUUAGCUAAAAACUCCUCAUGGUAGCUUUAAAUCUGAAAAUAUUAGCUGGCACCAGUUUUUGGCCUGCAGAGUCACCUGUAGGCUAUUAGGUUCAAAGCAGUUGUGCAUUUGAUUGACCUCAAACCCAAAUGGCCAGGUCCACAUUUUGCAUAUCUGUGAUGGUACCUCAUAGCCCACCUAGAUCUACAGCGGCAUAGGAAAUAGAGCUUGAUUGUGGCACCGUCAACUAUACUUCCAGGUGUUUUAAAUUGUAUUUUCUCCUCUAGAUAGCUCACUUUACCAAACACAAGGUAGCAUUGCUGCAACGACUCUUCCUCAAUAACUUGUGUUGUAAUUUUAUAGAACUAAAACGCUCAGGGUUGCAGCUGGAGUUGGGGUUAAUGGCCCAGUUAUUAUUUAUACAUCCCUUUGGGACACUUUGUCCUCCAGCAUUUAACCCAUCCAAACUAUUUAAGAGCAAAGGGAAGCCACAGAGCAGCACCGUGGGACCAGCUCUUCUUCUGCGGUGAAUGCUUUGGUCAAGGGCAACUUCACUUCCUAUCCCAGAUACCAAGAGCAGCAUGCAUUUUAAACUCAAAAGAAAUUGAAGCGUUCACAUGAAUUCAGACAGGGCACACUUGACAUUGACAGUCCAGAGCUUCGGUUUGGAAAGAGGCCCUUUGAGGACAUCCAGAUUUAAUGUUUGUGCAGUAUACUGUGUACGAUUGGAGAUAAUUACUCUGAGUACCCAGAUUUGAGUUUGCAUUCAUACUGAGUGCGCUUUGUUUUGUAAAUUUAGAGUUUUCCCCUCACUGGGCGAGUGAGAUGCUAUCACUGAGCUCCGCAAGCAAACUUUCCACUUCUGUUCUUUUGAUAAGAAACAAAACAUCUCACAACACAAACAGGCUUUAUAUUGGUUCAGAUGAAGAGAGGCUUUCCAGUGACUCAUUUGCACACGCUGCUAUGAAUAGACUCGCCUGCCUGUGAACCUACCGCAGCACUGAUUUGCUUCUGGGAGUGACAAAAGACUCACAUUGCAAAAAAGAAUAUAUCAAUUAAGAGGAAAAGAUUCUUUCGUGGGUCAAUACAGACAUGUAGAGUAAUCACUGUCCAGCAGAACAAGCUGUUUAGAAAUGCCAAGGCUCUUUGUAACACUGCUCUUAUCUUUCCUCUGCAGAUCUGGUCAAUCCAAGAUUACUGUAGCCGUCCUACAGCGACCUCCUGAAAGGCUUUCUUAAUCUGGAAUGAUGUCCAAUUUUAAUUCCAAGCAGUUUUUCAUUACCGCCAUGAACAUUUCCUCAAUAUUUUGAUGUACAUUUCCUCUUUUAUGUACAACCCUGCAUUAAUUCUUUAAUGGUGGUCCACAAAUCCCCAAAAAAACAUGACAUACUGAGCACAGGGAGUGCUCAAAGGUAGCCUAGUAGCGCUAACAUAAGACAAACCUGUCACAAACCCAGUAUGGUCAAUAUAUCACUCAAUGCACUAUGUUUCUGGUCCAACCCUGAUAGGAUGCGGGCCAGGAAAUCUGGGCGCGGACUAAAGGGGGCUGAACAUUGGAUGUGUUAUUUAUCGCUAUAACCAUAAAACAUAGAAGCAGAGCAGGGAGGAAAGAGAGGAGGCAGACAGACAGGGAGGGAGGGAGGGAGUAGUCAUGUUAGGAAGGAGCCCAUAUCUCCAUAGGAGUGAUUGAUGGGGAUGAGGAAUCGGCCCUGUCAUGGUGCAAUUACACCAGUCGGACAGGAUGUGUUUGAAGGACAGAGCAGCUGAGUACAGACCGGGAGGGGAAGUGAUUCAUGCUGCAGGAAAGCGCUGCAAAACAAAUGAUGUUACGGUCCUGACCUUGUAACUGUGACAAGAUAUCAUCUCUCUUGUUAAUUCUAAAUGAUUCCCUUCCUGGGGGUGAGUGUUAUCCUGCAGAUUAGUUCAUUAAAACUCAGAAUGGUCAUGGCCGCAUGAGCCACUGUUGGGAAGCAUGUCUGUUAGUUAAAACCUAUUUUUUGCCUCUGUAAUGUUUCUGAUUUACAGGACUAGUAAAGCUUUGUAUUUGGGGUGCUUUUAGGAGUUUUUGAGCCAGCUUUUACCACCUUAAAAAUAUGUUAAGUCAUGAUGCAUUUGGACAACCUAACAGAGAGUUUUGCUCAUAUUUUUAAACUGAGAAGCCUGAACCAAAAAUGAAAAAUAAAACCAAAGAGAAAAAAGCUUCAUCUGCAUUUCCCCAAAGUCUUGUCUGGUCUUGGAAAGCUUUUAAUCUAAAGCAGCAGUCGUGUUUACACUAGUUUAGGCUCACAGACAGGGCACAGAAAAUGUCGCUUUCAUGAAAUCUAAUGCAAAAGCUUUCAUAAUGUGAUUAGGUCAUAUUGACUCACAUUUUGGGUAUGAGUUGGCAACAGGGAGCGGUAUUAAAUCUAAUCUCGUACUUUCAUCACUUUGCCUGAAGUUUCUAUCUUUCCCAGUAAAGUCACUGUUGAUCUCAUCAGCGGUGGCCAAAGGGACACCUGACCCCGCUGACUUGAAGAGCUCAGUCAGCACUUCUGCAUGGAUAACAUGGCUGCAAGUGACCUGGAAAUGGAUUCAGUCCCCCUAAAUGGCUUUAGACUCGCUGGUGGAUUUACAAUCUCCUGCCUUGCUUUUAAAUCUUUACCAUUUUUGACAUUGCUCGCUUUUACUCUGCCUGUCUUCUAUCUUCUUUUUAUUCCAAGUGACACACAAACCCCUAUCAUUUUCCUCUCAUGCAGCAUUACUUCCCCCUAUCUUGUCAGUCUCAAAGGUUUUGUCUAAAUGAGAAGCUCUGGCGUGGAGAUCAGCAUCUCUGUGUCUCGGUUAGAUUCAAUUUCAAACUUAUCUUUGUCAGUCAAGAACACAGAGAAGACAAAAAUUGGACUGAGUUCAAGUUGGUACUUUUCGGUAGAAGAAAAACCACUUAUGGUGGGGGAUGGGGUGGUUCAAGGAUGUGACUGUUUGGGCAAGAGCAUGAAGCUUGGGAGGAGUGAAGGAUGAUUAAAGUUAGCAAAAGCUGCAUUUCCACCGAAUGUAAGCAGAAUAUUAAGUCCCAGAACUGUUCUUCAAAGGAUUAAAGACUUCCCUCAGCCAUUUUAGUUUUACCAAUCUUUGUGGAUCGAUGAAUAUCAGGUAGAUGAGUCUAAUUCAAGUAUUUAGCUGAUUUUCAAAGCCCUUGUACUUUAAGGUAGUACGUAAACCUCCAUGCAGGAACCAUUUGUUUGGAAUUAAAGUGUUUGCAGUCUAUACAGUGGAAAACCCGAGAAGUGCCUCCUAAGGUCCUGAGCAUAGACUGUAUAUACUAUGGAUAACUUGGUUCCACCUUCCGCCUGUAUACAGAUUUGGAGCUAAAAAGCUCUCGGUAAUUCCACUUUUUCUCCAUUUCCUAAAACCAACAUUGCGCAGUAGCAUUGUGCGCAUUCAGCGGGAGAGUCGCUGAGAGUCGUUGUGAUGACGUUUGGCUCAAACAGCGUAUCCCCGGGUGAGCUACGCGAUCUUCGUAUGUCCAUAGGCUGUAUCAAGUGUCAAUCAAAGAAAACAUGUACCAUCUAAUAACUUUUAAAAAUGGAGCUGUACAGAAAAAAUGAAUGAAUGGUGUAGGAGGAGCACAUUUUAGAAAUGAUGGCUGUGGCGGGGCGCCACUAACGCCGUCCUCAUCGCGGCUGGCCGCUCUCUCCCUCGCGGCUGGCCGCUCUCUCUCUCGCGGCUGGACGCACGCUCUCUCUCGCGGCUGGACGCCUUCUCUCCCUCUCGCUCUCCCUCGUCGCUCGGCGCCGACGUGGGGGAAUAGCGUGGUCACUCGCGGCUGGAGUGACAGACGGACGGGAGUCAAAAUGAACAUUUAAAGACAAUAAUUGGACUCUUGCGUCCCCGUGGUUGGUGUUAGAGGGUGCACACUCAAACACCUACACGGGUCUCGCUUACACAUACACGCACACACAUACACACUCACCUUCUGUCUCCGCUUCAUGGACUGAACAGAGGCAGUUCCGGGUCACCUGUUAAGUAGCACUAGAUGACGUGCCUCCGCGGGUCAGGUGACCCAGGGAGAAACCAAAGUCCGGGAACAAAUUGAUUUAUAGGAAAAAUAUUGUGUUUGGGUUUAAUAUUGGCUCAGCCAUGUGGAGGGUGUGAGCAACAGUAAUUGCUUUGUAUUAUUUUGUGUAUGUAGAAAUAUUAGUUAUGAUAUAAUAGCUGAUAUCUUGAAAAACCCCUUGAUUGUUUUGAUUGGUUUGUCCGGAGGAGGGGCCAAGGGGUAUUUAAAGGAGCUCAGCUCACUUGUUGGGGUGCCUCCUGGUUGAGCAGACGUAUGUUGGUCCUGGUAUUUGAAUUGCGGUUUGUAAAUAGUUUUUCCUCUGUCUUUUUUGUAAAUAAUUUUUGUAAAUAUUUUUUGUACAUAAGAGUUUUCACCUGUGGGUAUUUUUUUGGAGAUGGUGUAAAUAAAAGGAAAUCACCGUACUCGGUUCUCGACUGUGCCAUCAUCUUUCCCUCCACAACCGAAAAAGAACUUAAAGAAACUGAACCCGCGACAUUUGGUGUCAGAAGUGGGAUGGCCAGUCGAAGGGGACGCAUCCGGUUCACAGGAAGACGGACCGGACUGCGGUCACAAAAAGUGGAAGAAGCUGUGGAGGAAGCAGCCUGGGCCA
rnacentral:lncRNA from 1 species